GGGAAUCGGGGCUUUGUUCAAGAGGAAGGCAAAGAAGCUUCUUGAAGGGGUUUGCUGAGAGAAGACUCCAGUCCUGGCCCCAGGAGCUUGAGAAGCGAAGCUGACUUUCCCGCCCUCCAGUCUACAGCAUCCCAGAUUCCUGGGAUGCUCUGUCAACCUCCUUCUCCACCUCCAUGGUCUCCAGGUGGUCUCUCAGGGGUCCAGCUCCAGGGCAGGACCCAGCUGCCCAGUCCCUCAUGAUCAUGAACAAGAUGAAGAACUUUAAGCGCCGUUUCUCCCUGUCAGUGCCCCGCACUGAGACCAUUGAAGAAUCCUUGGCUGAAUUCACGGAGCAAUUCAACCAGCUCC
rnacentral:sRNA from 1 species